rnacentral:rRNA from 1 species
UACGUAGGGUGCAAGCGUUAUCCGGAAUUAUUGGGCGUAAAGAGCUCGUAGGCGGUCUGUCGCGUCUGCUGUGAAAUCUGGGGGCUCAACCCCCAGCCUGCAGUGGGUACGGGCAAACUAGAGUGCGGUAGGGGAGAUUGGAACUCCUGGUGUAGCGGUGGAAUGCGCAGAUAUCAGGAAGAACACCGAUGGCGAAGGCAGAUCUCUGGGCCGUAACUGACGCUGAGGAGCGAAAGCAUGGGGAGCGAACAGG